rnacentral:rRNA from 1 species
GAACGCUGGCGGCAUGCCUAAGACAUGCAAGUCGAACGAGAUGGCUUUGAAAACUGCGUACUUGUACAAAGUUGGAUUAAGAUUUCCAUCUAGUGGCAGACGGGUGAGUAAUACAUAAGUAAUCUACCUCAGAGACUGGGAUAACGUUUGGAAACGAACGCUAAUACCGGAUGAUUCUUCUUACACAAGUAAGAAAGCUAAAAGGAGCGUUUGCUUCACUUUGAGAUGAGCUUAUGGCGUAUUAACUAGUUGGUGGGGUAAUGGCCUACCAAGGUGACGAUGCGUAGCCGAACUGAGAGGUUGAUCGGCCACAUUGGGACUGAGACACGGCCCAAACUCCUACGGGAGGCAGCAGUUAGGAAUAUUCGUCAAUGGGGGAAACCCUGAACGAGCAAUGCCGCGUGAGUGAUGACGGUCUUUAUGAUUGUAAAACUCUGUUGUAAGGAAAGAACCCUUAUCAUAGGAAAUGAUGAUAAGCUGACGGUACCUUACCAGAAAGCCCCGGCUAACUACGUGCCAGCCGCUGC